ACUCGGGCAGUUCAUUAACAAAGUUCCAGGGUUAGCGCGUGAGACUUUUAAUCUCAAGGCUCAGGGUUCGAGUCCCUGGUCGGGCG
rnacentral:tRNA from 1 species